rnacentral:rRNA from 1 species
UACGUAGGGUGCGAGCGUUGUCCGGAAUUAUUGGGCGUAAAGGGCUCGUAGGCGGUCUGUUGCGUCAGGAGUGAAAACCCGCGGCUUAACCGCGGGCUUGCAGUCGAUACGGGCAGGCUAGAGUUCGGUAGGGGAGACUGGAAUUCCGGGUGUAGCGGUGAAAUGCGCAGAUAUCAGGAGGAACACCGGUGGCGAAGGCGGGUCUCUGGGCCGAUACUGACGCUGAGGAGCGAAAGCGUGGGGAGCGAACAGG